CGGGCCUGGAUCCAUUCUCUUCCUUUGUGCUAUUAAAUAAUACAGAAUCAGAACUGUUUGCGAUGACAGAAAUCAUCUUAACCCAGGCUUCCCAUGAAAAGCAAGAUUUAAUAAAAUGCUAUGGAGUCUUAAGGCUUAUCUGGUUAAUCUCCUGCCUCCACCUCCCCAGGUCCGGGAUAACAAGAACCACAGGAAUCAGGACAUUUGGGGAGCUGUCAUCAUUCCUGAUUCACCUUGAUGCCAUGACUCCAUGAAGCAUUUUCGAGGGACCAAGUCUUGCUUCUAGACUAGUCGUCACCAACAGACCAUUUCAAGAAAUAAGUGAAAGAAACCCUCAGAGCUCGCAUACCACUGUGGGGUCCAGCAAAGAUCUACAGCUCACCUCGAUGUAAAUGCUCUGGGGUCACACAGGGACAUCAGACCACGGGCAGCCUGGAGAGGCUCUCCAGCCUUCAGCACGGACUCUGAAGACCCAAAGGCACAGUGCAGCCUCCUACACCACCCGGUCAUGACUCCAGGGAGGGAAUGAGUGCCGCCGUAGCCACUCAGCCACGCCGUGGUAGGCAGAGCCCAGCUCCUGGCCGGAUCCCUUCCUCUUACCAGGACAAGUGUAGAAUUUUUUUUUAAUUGUUUUCAAAACAGAUUUCAUGUGGUCCCAAAAUGAGACCAUGAUUGUAAAUUAAAGUGUAAUUAGCCUUUCUGCUUUUAUAUUCAUUAACUCUUCUCUGUUAAUGGCGCAAAGCUGGAGCGGAACCCCCGCAUUAUAAAAACCACAUCCAGGAAAUAAAAUAGUGAUUUAG